rnacentral:rRNA from 1 species
AUGCUCCACCUCCGGCAGCGCGUCCUCUCCCAUCUCGUCUUCGCCGCGCCCUCUCCUUCCACCUCCCCACUCCUCUCUCUCCAGCGCCUCCUCUCCACGGCCGCUGACCCCCGCAUUUCUCCGAACCCUAGCUUCGCCGUGGAGGAGUACCACGUCUCCUCCUGCGGCCUGACCUGUGCCCAGGCACUCAAGGCCUCCGCCGAGCUCUCCCACCUCAAGUCCCCCGCCAACCCCGAUGCCGUUCUCGCCUUCCUCGCCGGCCUCGGCCUCUCCGGCGCCGAUGUGGCGGCCCUCGUCGCCAAGGAUCCGCGGUUCCUCUGCGCCGGCGUGGAGAGAACUCUGGGCCCUGUCGUCGCGGGGCUCGCCGGCCUCGGCCUGUCAAAAGCUGAGAUUGUGCGCCUCGUCUCGCUCGCCCCCGGCUACUUCCGCUGCAGAUCCGUCGUCUCCAAGCUAGAGUACUACCUACCGCUCUUCGGCUGCAUCGAGAACUUGGUCCGGCCGCUCAAACACGGCUGUUCAUCCGGCUUCCUCGGCUCUGACCUCGAGAGGGUGGUCAAGCCAAAUGUCAAUCUCCUAGCAGAGUGCGGGCUAGGUGCUUGUGAUAUUGCCAAGCUGUUCAUCCGUGCGCCGUGGAUACUUAGUGCCAAACCAGGGCGUGUCCUGGAGAUGGUUGCAUCUGCCGAAGGUAUAGGUGUGUCCCCUGGCUCUGGAAUGUUCAGGCAAGUGCUGCAUCCUGUCGCAUAUCUCAGCGAGGAGGAGAUUGCCGCCAAAGUGGAACAGUUGAAGAAGACAUUAAGGUGGUCAGAUGCCGAGGUCCGCGUUGCUGUGCCCAAGUUUCCGGCUGUGCUGACGCGGUCAAAGGACAUGCUGCAGCUCAAGUCCGAUUUCCUCAUCUCUAAGGUGGGGUUGGAACCGGCGUACAUUGCUCACCGGCCGGUAAUGCUCGGUCUUAGCCUGGAGGGCCGGCUCAAGCCCCGGUACUAUGUUAUGCGAUUUCUUAAGGAAAAUGCAUUGCUAAAUCAUGACAGAGGCUACUACAAAAUCGUCAUGGUCAGUGAGAAGGUAUUUGUGGAGAAGUUCAUAUGCCCUCACAAGCAAGCUGCACCACACAUUGCUGAAGACUAUGCAGCCGCUUGCAUAGGGGAGGUUCCUGCUAGAUUCAGAUUUACAUGA